GGUGAAAAUUUCUGGUUUCAAAUAUAUUUAAACAAACAAACCAACAUACCUACUGAGAGCCUAUGAGAAGUCUUGAACUGCUUGCUUUCCUGCAGAGAGCAAUGUGGCUUGAAAAGUAAUGUGUGUUUUACUGUUUCUACUCUGCAGAGCACGUGUGGGAUACAGGCAGAAUCUGAGGAACACCGAACAUAUUCACAGCUCUCUGUGCAAAGGAACUGUGCAAUCAGACUGUUCAUCAUCAUGUCAUCAGGUUCUACUCUAUGCUCACAGCUGAUUCCAAUGGAUACAGGUCACAGGUGUUAAAACUGGAGCAUUUGAAUGCAAGCUACUUUGCUUUCUAAUGAGUGAGCGGCUUUCUGCUGCUGUUGAUUAACGUGGUUUAAACCUCCUUGUCUGGCAAAUAGAGCAGUGUGAAGAGGGCUGGCUGCAGGUAUUGAUGCCUGACCAGAUUAGAAUCACUUUCAAGAUGCAUUGUCACAUUGUGAGCUGAUUAAAAUGUUACCUGAGUACAGUAAGGAAAAGAGACCUGGAUUACAAGCAGAAUUCAAAAUUCACAGGUGCAGGAAAUGAAGGAAUAGGCACAUGGGGAUGCUUGAAGAAUGAAUAAAAUCGUAGAGAGACUUUUACUUCCAUGGUAGAUCCUCAGUUUGAAUCCAGCAGAACCUGUCAGUUCUGAGCACCUGCUUGGUGCUCUUUUGGUCAUCACCAGCUCUCUUUAUCAGAGGUUGAUGACACCACAAUAAACAUCAACUUGAGCUUAAGACAAAUUGAAAAAAUUGGUUUGUUUAUGAAGAUUCUUCAUCUGAAGACCUAGUGAGUUUGUGAUAUAACCUGGGGAGAGAAGUAGCUUUCAGGACUGAAGGGGCUGCUGAAUUUCAGCAGCUGUGGAAUACAAUCCUUGCAAUAAACUGAGACUAUUUUAGGUCGAGUUAGGCUGGGUCUUUGUCCCCUUUGCUCCUUGGAAGGCUGCCUCAGAUUUCUCUAAUGGCUUUCUUUCCUGUCUGCUUUGGGAUGAUUUUCUAGACCCAGGAGCGUCUCUGUCCUGCAGGGCAGACUUGGGACACAUCACAACAGUUUGCACACGGUUUGAAUAGCGCAGUCCAGUGUCAGUAGCAAAUGCUCUACUCACUUAAAAACAGACUCUUGACCCUCUGUGAUUAAAAAUAAUCUAUAAGUGACUCCAGUACUUGGAGUUCCCUUCUGCUUUAGAAAAGCAGAGGAAGAAAACACAUGUUUCUUGCUUUGUUUUGAAAACAUCAUGCCUUUGUAAUAGGUGUGACUUAGGAAUUAGUUUUGAGUUGUUUGACCUCUGCUCAAAUUCAAAAUUAGAGUGUGGACAUUUCUCAAAACAAAACCACCCAACAAAGAAAAUGUUUAAGAAAUCAGAAACCAUUUAAGAAAUCAUUUGAUGGAUUUUAAAUUUUAUUUUUCUGCUUUGACAACUAUUGUGUUAGGGAUCAUUUCAAUUCUGUUUAGAAGAAGUUCAGUUCUAAAGGAUAGUUGUAAGAUAGCUUUGUGUUUCCCAGGGGCUGGGAAUCAUGCAUGUAAUUUUUCAAAUGAAUGACAAGACUUGGAUGGAGUGUGUACUCUUGGAACAAAACUGUCUUGUUAAAAACCACUGUGUUUAGACAGCUUGCAGCAACAGGAGAUUAAAUUGCUGGAUUUGCCUUUUACGUAGUUUGAUUGAUGAGAAAACUCUGCUGCAGUAUUCAUUGUUUAUCAAAUGCCACUCGGCUAGCGGCACUAACAAAAACAAAUAUUUAUUGGGUGCAAGAUUAAAAAAUGAUAUUGCAGAAAUAUGUGACCAGUUUCUGUAAAGAUUUCUAUACCUCUAGGGGCAAAAAGUUAAAAUGUGCUGAAACAAUGAUGUCAGGCACUGUGCAGCAUAACCAGGGAGACAUCAGGCACUGCCACCUUCACAGGGAAGAGGUUCUAGUUGGUGAUCUCUUACUGAGGGACAUUGCAGCUAUAACCUCUAUGUGUUUAUAACAUCAAAUGCUUUCCCUAAGUGCCUUCUAUUCCCCUCCUACGCCUUUCAAAAAUAAAACAAGCUCACCCUUGAUGGAUGUUCUGUUGGUGUCACUCUUUACAUGUAGCUUGCUCUGUGAGAGGUUACACCUGUGCAUUACAAUUGAUACCCACCCAGCUGCAGCACUUCUUUAUCCACAAGAGGCAAUGGAAGCUCAUCCAUACAAUUAUCUGCUUUAGACACUUGAAUGUGUUGUUUUGAUUGGGGCGGUGCUGUGGGCUGUGUUAUCGGAGUGAGUGGGAACCUGAAGUUGGCUUAUCACAGUGAUAACCAUUUGGGAAAAACAUAGUUCUCAUAUGGUGACAAGCAAAUUUGAUGUGCUAUCUAUACCCCUAUGUGUAGAAGAGGAUUGGUUUUUAGUAUUUUUGUGUAUGUGCAUAAGAGCAGAUUUGGGAUUUCAUUUCCUCUGUAACUGCACACCAUGAAUAAUUAACAGUUAUUACCUGCUUAUUUGCAGGGGAUUCUCUGUGUGUUUGUAGUUUGGGUUUUCUUUUUUUCUUUUUUUUUUUAACUUGCUUAGCUAAAUAUGGUGUUUGUAAAAAAUAAAUCUCAUAUUAGCUGUAGGUUAAUGUAAUGUGAAAGACAUGCUGGGCAAACAUUCCCCAGCCAGUCUGGAAACAGCUCUGAUCUGUGAAGUGUUAUCUUGGCUAGUUUAAAUAAUUUCCCAGGGAGUCAGUUUGAACUCUGUUCUUUUAUUGGUUUAUUAUUUUUCAGAAUGUAAUUCUUAAUACAUUUGUAUUCAUGGCAAUGGACAGUAAGUAAUUUAACACCUGCUAUCUACAAUCUCUGUCAGCAAAUGGCCUUCUCCUAGUGGGAUUUAUAGUUACAUUGUUGUGCUUCAAAGGUGGAGAAUUCAAAUUCUGUUUGCUACGAGCAGAAUUAUGUUAUGUAUUUUCUUUCUAGCUGCCUUUUAGUCUGGCCUUAAACUAACACUGCUUCUUUUAUUCCAAAACAGAGAGAAAACCUGAUCCUUGAAGGGUUGCAAUUAUUUUAUCCUGUCAAGGUGUUUUUUCUCUCUAAAAUAGGAAAAGGUAGGAGUGUGGGGAAGAAAACUAAGCAAAAAUUAACCCUUGUGCCACCUUACUUACAGUGAAUAUUUUGUAGGCUUAUUGUCUUAGUCUCUGCAUUGUGUUUUAUUGAGUUUUGAGGAAGAGCUUGUGUGGGGCAAAACUGAAGUGUGAAGAUGUAAUCCCUAGAGGUAAGGGCUGUAUAUGUGUGUCUGCACAGUUCCUGUUGGUAGAUCUGACUUAAGGUCUUUUGCAUUGCCUUUCUGUUCUGUUACAACUUCCAGUUCUGGUUUAAUUUAAAAAUUGUAGAGAAAGUGUAAAAUGAGAGGGGAGAAUGUGUUUUGCUUGUUUGUUUUUGGGUUUCAGUUUGGGUAUUUGGUUUUGGCUGUUUUUAAGAGAUAAAAGUAUCUCUUAAUAGCUCUCAUUUGCAAUAAGUGAAUGAAGCCUUUGUGACUGAUUCAUUUGGUUGUUUGGGGUUUUUUUUCCUAUUUUUGUAGUACCUAUUCUGUAGAAAGAGUACAUCAUGAGAGGAUGGUAAGCUGCCCAAGGAGGAGCAGUUGUGCACAGUGCCUGGGUGGAACACUGGCCAUACAGGAGGAUUGCAACAGAUGGGAUGUUUCUCACAGGAGCUGUGGAUAAAUUUGAGCUUGUGGAGAAUAGCUGCUUCUGCAGGAGACAGCCUACAGCCUCACAGGAGCAGUUGGAUGGAGCAGCUGAGGAGAUGGGACUGAGCUGGGGAGUCAGGUCAUGCAUUGUUGUCAGAUCUAGUGGGAAAAGAAGACUUUAAAAGACCUCAGAGAGCGGCAUCCUGCAUUCCAUAAGUACACCAGAAAAGACUGGUUUGGGUACUGGAGUCCCCCAUCCCUUUUAACUGUGAUCCUUUGGCAAGGUAGGCCAUGACAGGGAGUUGGUGUUGUUACUUAGAGAAGAAGGCUGUCCCACUAACAGGAAAGGACACUGAUUUGGGAGCAUGUCAGUCUAGUGCAGUGCACACCUUUGCAAGAUAAAACAAAACCAACUCCAAACAAACAAAUUAUUGGAUGGUGUGUAAAAUAAAGCCUCAGCUCUGCUUUAUCUUUGUAGAAGCAAAUACAGUUUAUAGUUGCUUGAGGAGGGCUUUCUAUUACCAUAUGCUGAAUCUUGCAAUUUCUCAGCCUUCCUGCUCAGCAUCUGUGAAUCUCAGUAGCAGAAUCGUUGCUUGGAAACUCAAUUGUCUUUUUGCAUUUACUGCUAGAAAAGAGUUUUCAAUUCUGGUAACUUGAUUAUCAUGACUUGUACAUAGAUCUAAAACUCCUUAGCAAAGGCAGUUUCUUUACUGGCAGGAUAAAUACCACACAUAUUCAAGAAGUGCUUAACAGUGUUUUCAGCAGGGGUGAAGUUUUUCCAAUGUGUUUGUAUUGCUAUUGAGAUAUAAAAUAAGUUGCAUGGAAAUUAAGGUAUUGUAUAUGUGCCAGCAUCGAUGUGCCAUUUUGACUUCUUUUUUUUUUUCUUGUGGAGUAGAAAACCACCUCUGAGAGUAUAGGUUGCCAUCACCUGACUACAGCCUUCUUUCAGAAGUAUAUUAUGUACAGUUAUUCACAGUUGGCAAGAAGAUUUUUGUGGGGAUUUUUGGUGGAAAUGGAACACUUCAUGAGUUUGGUUUCUUAGGGAUUCUUAAUUCUGAGGGUUUGGUUUGAAGGGAGUGAGAAGGAAACAGUGAUCGUUUCCUUGUUUUCUGCAUUGCUUUUUCCUCCCUCCUCUCUAUUGCCUGAAGUAACAUGAAUUUCACAAACCUUGUAGGAUCAAUACUUAAACUGCAUACUAAUGUGUUUUGGAAAACUACAGAGAAGGUGGGGAACAUGGAAUGACUUUCUUUGUUCUUAGUGUGGUUUGAGCGAAAAAUAACAGCUGCAGUUGCCACCUUCAGUUGUGCUCAGGAAUGUCAGCAUCUGAAGGUGGCUUUACCAAAAUGAAGAAAACCUACCAGGGCCUUUGAUCUUAUUGCCAUGUGAAUUUAAAUAUUGGAUCUUAGGCUGUGUGCUCUAAAAAACAUAGCAGGGUUAUUUUUCACUCAGCAUCCAGGAGUUAUUGCAAUGACUGAAAAUUGAGGUAAAUGCCAGAGUAGGCUGCAUGAAGUGUUAGAUCAAUACUUGAAAUUGGCACAUGGAAUGACAGCUUUGAAACUGAUGUGCAUGUGAGCGUGGUUGAUACAUGCAUUGAGAGCCUUUUAAGAGACGCUUGGGGAUUCAUUUUGUUUAAAAUGGAAGGCAAACAGUAUUGAUACAACACUCUGUACUACACUUUAUGGUAAGUGGUACAAAUGAAGGCUUCAAAGAGUAUUUAAGUGCUUUAUGCUAUUUGUUAUCCUCUAGAGUAGUAUUGAAAUCAGCAUUCUAGGUUACAGAGCUUGUGGGAUAUGUUUUCCCUUAGGACAGAGAGGGAUGGUAGCUUUUGUGGUUUGGCUGGUGUUUGGAUUCUUUUUUUUUUCCCUAUCUGUGCGGAUUUUCAUUAGCAAUUAAAUGUAUCUGGACUUCAGAACAUCUGUUUAACAUGAUAUGAAGACAGGAUUUCUUACAUUUGUAACUAUUAAAGUUUGGGUAUGCACUAGGAAUUUUGAAAUUGCCAUUUGAUCAAUAUUUUCCCAUCACAUCUCUUGUAAAAUUUAGUGACUUUAUUUUGUGCACCACGGAGUGGUCUGAAAGUGUGGGAUGAUAUCAAGUAUUUAAUUAUCCCAGGUGUGCCAGUGCAGUCAGCAGCCAGGCUAUUUGCACUCCUGAGAAAGUGAUUUGGCAGUGAACCGGGAUUGUAAACAGUAAAAGGAGAAAAAUGUGCUGUUUCAGUACUUUGCCAUAAAGGGCUGUUCUUGUUUCCUUGAAGAAUGUAACCACUGAAAAAGAAUUAGAGCUCCCCAGUUAGAGCCAGCCUCUAGUUGAGGGCUAGGUUAUUGUGUUCUGUUUGUAGCUUUGAUGUUUCCAGCCAAGGAGGUAGAAGAGAGCAAUGUCCUUUCCUCCUUUUUAAAUGUCUUCCCUUUUUUUUUUUUUUGAGGAUCUGGGAUCUUCAAUAUUGGACCCUUAGGCUCUUUUACUACCAUCUGAAGUUAUUUAUUGUCAAGUAGGAGAUAGGACAACAGUUCUUGCAGAAUGUUCUCACUAGCUUUUUUUUUCUUAGAAUUGAUCUGCUGGAGAAGAUUUCUUAAGGGCAUGUGUUCCCAAGCUCUUUCCUAUAUGAAAACUGCUGCUCUAACUUCUCACUGGACACUUGGAAAUUAAUUUUUAUGAUCCAGUGAUGUGUAUGUUGACUAUAGAUCUUUUUGCUCUUUUAAAAAUCACUUAAAUAGUGGUCUGCAAUUUUGCUUUGCCAUAAUACAAAAAUUAAGAUGACUUACCCUUUUCUGAUGCAUUAAUCCAGGUGUGGUUUUAAUGGCCCCUGUUGUUUGUAUGUGCUUAGCAGGCUGACCUAAUGUCUGAGCAUGGAGCUAUGUUGAAAUUGGCCUAAAUGAGGUUAACUGGAAAGAAGGGAGCUGUUGUUGGCAUGAAAGGUAGCCUACAGAGAGGUUGAAAGUGAAACUCCAACUUGCUGAGAAGUUCAAGCAGCAAACUGUGAAGUACAUUAAUUAAAUGCUGGUAGUGAGCAGGUGGGGAGCCUAUGUUUAAAAAGACAGAAAGUUGUAUGGCAUUUUAAAGAAAA